GACGAACGCUGGCGGCGUGCUUAACACAUGCAAGUCGAACGGAAAGGCCCUGCUUUUGUGGGGUGCUCGAGUGGCGAACGGGUGAGUAACACGUGAGUAACCUGCCCUUGACUUUGGGAUAACUUCAGGAAACUGGGGCUAAUACCGGAUAGGAGCUCCUGCUGCAUGGUGGGGGUUGGAAAGUUUGGGCGGUUGGGGAUGGACUCGCGGCUUAUCUGCUUGUUGGUGGGGUAGUGGCUUACCAAGGCUUUGACGGUUAGCCGGCCUGAGAGGGUGACCGGCCUCAUUGGGACUGAGCUACGGCCCAGACUCCUACGGGAGGCAGCAGUUGGGAAUAUUGCACAAUGGGCGGAAGCCUUAUGCAGCAACGCCGCGUGGGGGAUGACGGCCUUCGGUGUGUAAACCGCUUUCGCCUGUGACGAAGCGUUAGUGACGGUAAUGGGUAAAGAAGCACCGGCUAACUACGUG
rnacentral:rRNA from 1 species